AGCAGCCGCGGUAAUUCCAGCUCCAAUAGCGUAUAUUAAAGUUGUUGCAGUUAAAAAGCUCGUAGUUGAAUUUCGGGAUCAAUGCGUCGGUCGUGCUUUCGGGUACGUACUGGUGUCAUUGGUUUCUCCUUUCUGACGAACCGUGAUGUCAUUAAUUUGGUGUUACGGGUAGUUAGGACUGUUACUUUGAAAAAAUUAGAGUGUUUAAAGCAGGCAUUAGCUUGAAUACAUUAGCAUGGAAUAAUGAAAUAGGACGUUCGAUCCUAUUUUGUUGGUUUCUAGGAUCAACGUAAUGAUUAAUAGGGAUAGUUGGGGGCAUUAGUAUUCAAUUGUCAGAGGUGAAAUUCUUGGAUUUAUUGAAGACUAACUACUGCGAAAGCAUUUGCCAAGGAUGUUUUCAUUAAUCAAGAACGAAAGUUAGGGGAUCGAAGACGAUCAGAUACCGUCGUAGUCUUAACCAUAAACUAUGCCGACUAGGGAUCGGAUGAUGUUAAUUUUUUAAUGACUCAUUCGGCGCCUU
rnacentral:rRNA from 1 species